UCUUAAAGCAGCAUUAUAAAAUAAUCUUAAGUUUAUAGUGUUUAUAAAAAUCAACUAAAUUUCUUUUUAAAGUAGUGACAUUAUACUUCUAAAUUAUUAAUUAUACAAGAAAUAAAAACAGGACAAUAAGAAAAUGUCCAUCUGUGGCUUUCAGCCAUGUGUCAGCAGGGGCAAGUUUACCUCCCAUAAGAUGUAUCUGUUUCAAACUAGAUAGGAAG
rnacentral:lncRNA from 1 species